UGCAGUCGAACGGUAGCACAGGAGAGCUUGCUCUCUGGGUGACGAGUGSCKGACGGGUGAGUAAUGCAUGGGGAGCUGCCCAAUCGAGGGGGAUACCAGCUGGAAACGGCUGCUAAUACCGCAUACGCCCUGAGGGGGAAAGGUGGGGACCUUCGGGCCUACCGCGAUUGGAUGCACCCAUGUGGGAUUAGCUAGUUGGUGAGGUAACGGCUCACCAAGGCGACGAUCUCUAGCUGGUCUGAGAGGAUGACCAGCCACACUGGAACUGAGACACGGUCCAGACUCCUACGGGAGGCAGCAGUGGGGAAUAUUGCACAAUGGGGGAAACCCUGAUGCAGCCAUGCCGCGUGUGAAGAAGGCCUUCGGGUUGUAAAGCACUUUCAGUAGGGAGGAAGGGUUGAUGUCUAAUACGCAUCAGUAUUGACGUUACCUACAGAAGAAGCACCGGCUAACUCCGUGCCAGCAGCCGCGGUAAUACGGAGGGUGCAAGCGUUAAUCGGAAUAACUGGGCGUAAAGCGCACGCAGGCGGUUAGAUAAGUCAGAUGUGAAAUCCCCGGGCUCAACCUGGGAACUGCAUUUGAAACUGUCUGACUAGAGUCUUGUAGAGGGGGGUAGAAUUCCAGGUGUAGCGGUGAAAUGCGUAGAGAUCUGGAGGAAUACCGGUGGCGAAGGCGGCCCCCUGGACAAAGACUGACGCUCAGGUGCGAAAGCGUGGGGAGCAAACGGGAUUAGAUACCCUGGUAGUCCACGCUGUAAACGAUGUCGAUUUGGAGUUUGUGCCAUUAUGAGCGUGGGUUCCGAAGCUAACGCGAUAAAUCGAC
rnacentral:rRNA from 1 species